UACGUAGGGUGCGAGCGUUUAAUCGGAAUUACUGGGCGUAAAGUGUGCGCAGGCGGCCGAGCAAGUCGAGUGUGAAAGCCCCGAGCUUAACUUGGGAACUGCGCUCGAAACUACGUGGCUCGAGUAUGGCAGAGGAAGGUGGAAUUCCACGUGUAGCGGUGAAAUGCGUAGAGAUGUGGAGGAACACCGAUGGCGAAGGCAGCCUUCUGGGCCAAUACUGACGCUCAUGCACGAAAGCGUGGGGAGCAAACAGG
rnacentral:rRNA from 1 species